rnacentral:rRNA from 1 species
UACGUAGGGGGCAAGCGUUAUCCGGAUUUACUGGGUGUAAAGAGAGCGUAGACGGCAGAGCAAGUCUGAAGUGAAAGCCCGCGGCCCAACUGCGGGACUGCUUUGGAAACUGCCCGGCUAGAGUGCUGGAGAGGUAAGCGGAAUUCCUAGUGUAGCGGUGAAAUGCGUAGAUAUUAGGAGGAACACCAGUGGCGAAGGCGGCUUACUGGACAGUAACUGACGUUGAGGCUCGAAAGCGUGGGGAGCAAACAGG